UGAACGGCGUCCAAGUCUCGCCUUUAAAAUGCCAGGGCUGCCUCGGCUCUGCUCACAGCCGCUCUCGGCGGCUGCCCGGGGCUCACCGCGCCGCCGCCGGGCGCUGACUCAGCCGCAGUCCGGCUGCUUCGCCGAGCCGGACCUGGGGAGCGCGCGCACGGAGACCGUGCCCGGUGCCCGGUGCCCGGCGCCUGGAGCCAUCCGGGAAGCACCGCAGCGCUUGAACUAGCUUCCAGAGCUGGGGGCUGGACCGAUUAGGUCCCAGAGCGCAUCGGACUCGGCUGACCAGGUCAGAUGAACCAGAUACAUCCAGCAGUCACCCUACCAGGGAUCAGAAGGCAGCACAGAUCCAGAAUACUCUGUAUGGAUCUCAAAAUGCUCAUCACCACAUCACAAGGACAUAAUGACCCUCCGUACACCCACAUCUGCUGGAAGCACUAAGGAAGAAGCUAGAACUCAGGAAUCAAGGGAAACAUGGAGGAAUGAUGGAUUUCCCCAAACAGAGCCUUUCCUGGUAUUCUUACUCUGACUUGCUGAUGUUGCCAUCAAAAGAGGUAGAGCUUCACAGCCUGAUGGACCAGCACAUCAAAAGGAGGGCCAGAUCAAACUGAUUAAUGCUCAUGGUCAGCCCUGAUUCGGGUUGCCCUGCAUGAAUUCACAAUGUCGCUGCAGCCUGCUGUUGAUCCCUUUGGUGGAAAGUGGCAAGAACUUUCAAUACCUUCAUUUUCUGCCCAUGGUGCCUGGAGGGAAGAGGCCAAACAUGAGCUGUCAUCUGGAGGCCAGAAGGAAUGGCCCAGCCCCGGUUUAAGGCGGCAGUGCCCUCCACCAACUCACUGCCCUGUAUUGAACUCUAACUCCCAGAUCUGCACGCUCACAGUGUUUUGAAGUUAAAAAAACUAAUUUGGAAGAAAAGAAAAUUCAGCAUGAGCCAAAAAGUGUAUGGAGGUGCUGAAAGGCACCCUUCCUUCCUGCCCAGCCAUGGUCUCACUUGGAGUAGAAGUCUCCAGAAACAACCAGUCCUCUGUCCUUCUGUUCCAGCCUCCUACAGCUCUGCUCUCUGAGAAGUCAUGCUGACUCAUUGGCUCAAGCUGUGAUGCUCAGCUGUCUGUCCAUCUUGUCUCCUGGAACAGCUCAAUCCAGGGUCUUCCUGAAGUGGUGAUCACUCCAGCUGGCAGGGGUAGAAAAUGGUACCAGUCAGGUCAGAGCUCUGGGAUCCCACAGUCACUGCUGCAGGAUGGAGGAACCUACUCCUGAGCCUGUCUAUGUGGAUGUGGACAAGGGGCUGACCUUGGCUUGCUUCGUUUUCCUCUGCCUCUUCCUCGUAGUCAUGAUCAUCCGCUGUGCCAAAGUCAUCAUGGACCCCUACAGUGCCAUCCCCACGUCAACCUGGGAGGAGCAGCACCUGGAUGACUGAGGCACAGGACAGGUCUCAGUAUCCCCAACAUGCCUUUGUACACUCUGGCCAACAUCCUGCGAGCACUUGGAGACUGGGAGUGGCUAUGAUCACCCAAAACUGGAGAAGGCUCACCUUUGCCUUACUGGCUCUCACAUGACCACCAGAGGGGAAUGCCAUCGUGCAGGAGCCAAGGCAGUCUGGAGGAUCCUGGGGAGAGGAAUGCUGAGCCAUGACUCAGUCGAGUGGAGAUGAUGUUGGGACUCCACUGGGAGACAGCAGGGUGAUAGUUCCCUGCCCAGGCUCCUGGGCACCUUUGAAAACUGAACCAAAACCAGAUACUCUGGUCUACAAAUAGUGGUCAGGAGGAGACUGACCUUCAACUACACAGCAUGGAGAGGUUGCUGAGAGCCCAGUACCCUCUACAGACUAACAGUGAGGGGCAGGAAGGAUGAAGACUUCAGGGGGCUUCUCCUCCAAAUUCUCACAAGGCACACAGCUACUUUCAAACUUUUAUUUUCAAAAGAAAAAAACUCCAUAAAAACACAAACUAAGAUACAGAAGGGAUAUAUUUUUCCUGUUAAAAAUGAGAUGUGCAUUUUAGACACUUGGGAAAAUAUAAAUAAAUAGAAGGGAAGGGAGGCGAAUAGCACUUAAAAAUCCAACCUCCCCAAAGCCAUCAUUUUGAUACAUUUCUUCAAGUCUUUUUUACAGGAUUUUUUUUAGUAAUUCACACCAUAUGCAUGAUGCUGCAUUGAUUUGUAUGAUAGCUUAAAUAUCUUCUGCCUCACAAGAUACCAUGGCUGUUUUUAGUGACUGAGAGUAAACUGGCUAGGCCAUGGCUGAAUAUAGUCCUUUUCUUUAAUCUGUCUAACUUUCUACAAUGUACUCAUGCAAAUCACAGUAACCUUCAGAAGCUCUGCAUCCCAGGAGCUCCAGGAAAGAUCUGGGUUCUAGUCCUCCUUAGCUAUUCAAAGGCUGUAAAAGUCACCUCACCUCUUGGUGCCUCCAUUUCCUCAUUGUAAGAUGGGAAGGAGAAAUGUCUGUCUAUCAGUCUGUCUGUCUGUCUGUGAGACUAGGUUGUCUCUUCUGUUGUCUUUCCUUCAUCUUCUUCUCUCACACACUGUCACCUGCAUCUUUGACCUUGCUGCCAGGAUUCUAGGUCAGAGCCCACAACCAUCCCCACCCUACUUCAACUCCUGUUUCCUUAUUAUAUGACUCCUAAAUAAGUUGGCACCUGUGAGCUUCAAUUUUGUCAUCUAUAAAAUGGCGGUGUAACAUCUACCUCACAAGGUUGUCAUGGAGAUAAAAUGGGAGAGCAUGAGCAAACAGGGGUGUCCUUUCCUGAAUCUCUCACCCUAGGAAGAGAACCCUCCCUGCCUUCUAAGAGCCAGUGCUCCCAGCCAGUACCAUGUUCACAGUGGCCAGCAGAGCAUUCACAGUGACCUACACCUGACACCAAGGCACCAAGGCCUAUGGGAUCAUUGUCACUAUUGUCAUUUAUUUUCACAUAUGUGAGGUGUACCUAUUGUGUUCUUCUAGGGUAGGACCUGCUGCCCUAUCAAAAGAGACCUGUGCUGUGGAUCUUAGAUCUCCUCCAUCACCCACAGUCAAGCCAUGCGUUCCCAUGUAUCUUAGGCUACCUGGGAAAUGGGUUCCAAAGUAUUCUCACACUACCUGACCUCUGAAAGUAGUGGAUACUCUAUCAAGGUGGUUUCAGGAUAUGUUGUGUGAGUGUGUGUGUGUGUGUGUGUGUGUGUGUGUGUGUGUGUGUGUCUGUGUCUGUGUGUCUGUGUCUGUGUGUCUGUGUGUCUGUCUCUGUUUCUGUCUCUCUCUCACAAACACACACACACACACACACACACACACACACACACACACACACACACACACUGUCGGAUGCACAAAAGAACACAUGGCAUAGGCUCCAAACCUGGCACUGAGGUAUCACUUCCAGCCCACCCUUCCUCAGAUACCUACCUCAGAGAUGGCAUGCUCUUCUGUGGGAGCCUGUUUAGAUGGGUUUACAGUCAAUGGGAGGGGGGCACUGUUCCUAGCUGUUAAUGACAGAACAGCAGGAAGAAGGAAAGAUCUAAAGAGCUCUGAAGACUUCCUGUGGAGGUCUUUUGAAGCUCUCAGGAGGGAAAAUUGGAUGCCCCAGGCUGUGCUUCUCUGAGAGCCUGCUGAAGGGCAAACCACACCUGCAGGAGCCCUCUUCCCCUCCCCAGACCUAUAGAAUCGUACUGGGCAUCUGGGGCCAGUUAGCUAUGCUAGCCAAACCCCUGGAUGGCAGUACAUCCCUGUUUGAGAAACCCUCCCCAGGACCUCUGGCCUCAGACAAUGUCCCACACCUACAGACUUUAAUAUUUUCUACCCAAUCUCUUUGUGUUGGUUUCAUGGCAAGGGGAAAUAACAUCUGAGAAAGGACACGAUUUCAAGCCUCUUCCCCCAGAGUCAAGCUUCUAACAAGGCAACAAAGCAGUGGUUUAUAUUUGUACUCACACCCUCCCUUCUCAUUUGCAUCCUCUUGCAAGCUAUACUUGUCCAUAAGUACCAUUUUUUGUGUACCACAAGCACCUUUCCCCAUUGUUGCUUCUUCUUGAAUCUCCCUUUCUCUCUCUCUCUCUCUCUCUCUCUCUCUCUCUCUCUCUCACACACACACACACACACACACACACACACACACACACACACACAGAGAGAGAGAGAGAGAGAAAGAGAGAGAGAGAGAGAGAGAGAGAGAGAGAGAGAGAGAGAGAGAGAGAGAACAAGAGAGAUGCACAUGUCCUGGUGUAUUAGUGUGAGCAUGCACUUGCCACAGUGCGUGUUUGGAGGUCAGAUGACAAUCUUGAGUGUUGGUCCUCACCUUCCUUGUUUGAGACAGAGUCUCCUUUUUGUUGCUCACCACGUUACUUCCCAGGCUAGCUUGCCCACAAGCUCCCAGGAAUUCUCCUCUCUCUGGCUGCCAUCUCCCACAGGAGCACUAGAAUCACAGAGGUGCCAUUCUGCACCCACUCACUUUCACAUAAGUUCUGGGAGUGAAAACUCAGGUCCUCACAUUUGCACAGCAAGCAAUUGCCUGCUGAAAUGAUGUCCCAGCCCCCUCCCAGCCCUUUAUCAUUUUUAAGGUUUGUGUUUUUUUAAAAAAGGAUCCCCUCAUACACAUGCAUGACACUGCAGACCACUAUACCAAAUACUUUUUAUAUGUUUUUAUUUUCCUGUUAUAUAUGUGCUGAGAAGAAAUAUAUAGAAGUGGCUGUGCUGACCCUGGGCCUUGCUCAGGAGAGGAGAAAAGGCAGGUUUAUAGCACAUCCCUUCUCAGAGAUACACAAGAAGGAAAGUGGGGUCCCCACCUCUGUCACUUGAUCAUGUGGAGGUGCAAAAGUGGAAGAAUCCCAAGUUUUUCUUCUCUCAUGUUUUCCAUUCUGAAGGAUGGAGGACGUAGUCCUUUACAACCAGAGCACCCUCACAAGUUUCUGUUAACUAAGAGAAAGCCUGCAGUUGUGAAUAGAGAGAAAACACUGCAGCAACAUAUUAGUGCUAAAGGCUUGAAGUUGGCAGAGAAGAAAUGGAGAGAUGCUGGAGAAAAGGAUAGCUAUAGAGUCAGCCAAAGGCAGGGAAGAAGGCAAACUGUGGCAGAGAGUAGGUGAUAGUCUCCAGACAAAGGCAUCUAGUGGCUGGGAUCAAGCUGCUACCAAUGAUGCACUGUGUGGAAGCCCCUCCGUAUUACCUCCAGCAAGGUGGAUGCACAGUCCUUUCAUGGCUGUGUAAUUGCAGCAGUGGGGCCAUCUGCAUGAUGGCCACAGAAAGGACCCAGUUGUCCCAGAGACAAAUGGGUGAUAAAAAUAUUCAGAAACAGGAAAGGCAACUCAUAGACAUCAGAGGAACAUAUGGGUAUGAUCAGGGGCUGAUUGACACAAGUGGUAGGACCCGGUUGCCCCGGUGUGGCCUAUCGUGGCUAUCACAACCAUUUUAUUUUUCCAAUUUAAUAUCCAAAUAUCCACAUGCUUUGUUUUGUUUUGGUGGAGUGAUCUUGGUUCUGGGAUAUGGAACUCACAGCCCUGUACAUAUGAGACCAGCACUUGUCACUGAUAUUUGCCCCUAACCCCACAUAUCUUGCUGAAACGAAAACAAGCAUCCCUCCAGCCAAUAAAGUUUCCCAGGAUCCCAGAGGUUUCCAAAAGGUCCAUCUUACUUUAAAGCACCAAAUGGAAAUAAUUGCAAAGCCUAGUUUCUACAAAAGUGGGUUGCCUGUCCCGUGGCCUUGCUGUUGAGGACUGGUCCCACCACACAGGAUGGAUAUUAUCCAUAAUAGUUCAUGGCUGAUGCCAUGUAGAACGGAUCUUAUCCAUAACAGUCUCUAGCUGAUGGUCCUGGUUGCUAAGAAAUGCCCACAUUGAGUUCUCCACAUCAGUUCAAGCACAGACAUGGGUUGUCUCUGUCCAGAAGACAGACAACCUCGAUCACACUCACUUUUGCUGGCCUGUGCUGAUUCCAUAUAUCCUUGACAUCUACUAAGACCUUCCCUCCUUUCCCCUACAGAAGGCUGUCACUACCUGGCAGUGGCUAGCAAGAGACAGAGGGCAUGCUUGAAAUAUUAAUAAAGAAAGUACGUUUACAGAGGUUGGGUGUUCAGGGAAACAGAAUGGCAGAUACCAAGGACAGUGAGACAGAGUUCUCUAGGCCUGAAGGAUAACAGAUCCCAGCAGAGGUCGUUGCAUGAUGGAAUCAGGCAAGAGGAGCUGUGCCACAGGUAUAUCUAAUAUUCUUGCCUAUGGCUAGUCUGUAGCUCAGUGGUAGGGCACCUGCCUAAGAUGCUUGAGAUCCUGAGUUAAAUCCCCAGAACCAGAAGAAAAGUCCUUGCACAAUUUCAGAGCAGUAGGGAGUUGGAAAGACCCUUUGCCUCCUUUCUAGGUCUCCUACUGACCAAAAGUAAUAGAUACUAAAUGGUGGGACUGCUGAGUAAUAGGGUCUUUGUAUGUCAGCACACUGGAGCAACUGAAAAAUGAGCAGCACAGCCCACCCCAAGCGACACCCAGCAACCAUCACAAACUCCCAGCAUUCAUCACGAACUCCUAGCAACUAUCACGAACUCCCAGCAUCUAUCACAAACCUUGCUAAGACAGGGAAGCAAACAUGGAUCCUAAGGAAACAGUCUCGUGGACACCAUAUUGCCCCAGAUAAUGUCAAUGUUGUUCCAUUCUGAGUAAGACCUGACACUAGAAUGUAGCCAGUGUAAGGCAGAGAGGCUAGCACAGCUUUCUCUGUAGCAGUUGCAAGGCCUAGUGUGAAUAGCAGUCUUGGUCUUUCCCCUCCUGCCCCACAUUCCCUGAAUAGUCUUCAGAUACGGAGGUGUCUUACCUCAUCCACAGAGGAGACAAGCUCCUGUCCUGUUUUUAUUUAUUGGGUUAACAAUUGCCCAAAGAAUUUAGGAAGAAGCCUUGCAGAUCUAGCUGAAGGCACUUUAGAACUCCCAGGAGACAUAGGAGCUCAUGGAACUGUAGUCCCAAGUCGAAGAGCAUCAGUGUCUCUAUAGAAUUGAACCCUAGACUUUCAGAAUGUACCAAGAUGUACCAAGUGUCCCAGUGAACCCUUGGGCUCCAAAAUGAGUCUCCUUUGUUCCUGUUGGGUAGCAGUCAUUCCAUAGCUCUUGAGGUAUGAAAGAAAUUGCCUGACAAUGCAGCAAUCUCCUCUUCUGCACACUGGUUCACCCAAUACGCCCCAAAUAUCAUAAAGCCAUCUUCCAAUGUAUCAGACUCCCACCACGCUUGCUAGUGGAAGCAUUCAUCCUGCUUCCCAAUCUAGAACAUUUGUAACAGUUAUAACAAUAUAAGAGUUAUAAGGGUGGGUCACUCUAUUCAAUGAGUCACACAGUAUUGGCAGGAAAAACAUGCUAACACAGCCUUGGUAGAAACAACAGAGUUCCUCACAAACUUAAAACUAGACAUGCCAUAUGCUCUCACAUUAGGGGUAUAUCUAAAGGAAAUAAAAUUAGCAUUUCAAAGACCUCCACUCCCAUGUUGAUCACAGCACCAUACACACUAGCCAAAAGCUGGACUGCUUAUAAAUAUUUAUCAAUGAAUGAGCCAAUGAAGAAAAUGUGGUACCUAAGCACAGUGAGAUCUAAUUCAUCUAUAGAAAGUAUAAAAUCUUGUCAUUGGGACAUGGAUGGAAUUGAAGGUCAUUUUGUGAAAUGAGCCAAGCACAGAAAAACAAGUACCCGUGGUGUCACAUACAGAAUGUUAAAUAGGUUGCUUUCCCAGAAGCUGAGAGAAGAAUGGUUAGCAGAGACUCUGGGGAAGCUGGGAGGAGGAAACCUGAUCGCUGAGUCCUGUGUUACAGUUAAAGAAAUAAGUUCUGUUUUGUUACUAUGCUGCAGAUUCAAAGGCACUAGGAAAAAGGAUUCUGAUUGCUUCUAUCACAAAGAAGUAAUGUUUGAGGUGAUAUAUAGGGCCACCUGGAGCUGAUUCUGAACAAUAUACACACUUAACAAAACAUCAUAUGCUAUAAAUAUGUACAAUCCAUGUAUUGAUUUUAAAAAAUAAAUAAAAUAGAAAAGA